AUAAAGCUGGAAAGACUUAUCUAGUAAACAAAUAAGUAAAAUGAAUUACAAAAGGAUCUUCUUUUCUUUACUAUCUAUUCUUCUUAUAUCUAUGGUAGCAUCGUCACCAGCCCCUAAAUGGAAGCCUUUCAAGAAACUGGAAAAAAUUGGCCAAAGAGUAAGAGACGGUAUCAUUAAAGCCGGACCCGCGGUGCAAGUUGUGGGAGAAGCUGCAGCCGUUCUAAAACCAGCUCAAGGAUGAGUUAAGACUCGUUGCAAUAGUGUUUUAUAACAUUGUACCUACUGCCAACAAAAAGUAUUAAUUAAAAUUUAUUUAUUCACAUUAA